GAGGGUAUAGCUCAGUGGUAGAGCACAUGCUUAGCAUGCAUGAAGUCCUGGGUUCAAUCCCCAGUACCUCCA
rnacentral:tRNA from 1 species